rnacentral:lncRNA from 1 species
AGCCUCACUCCAGACUGGGCUAUGCUCCCUGUACCAACCUGUACCAAGGGAGAGGCCCGGCACACCAGCCUGCUCCAACCACACAGAACACCCUGAGACUCUGCCCACUACUCAAAGCGCUGCUACUAAGGAAGGGGUCAAACUCCACGCAGCCAACAGCUCUGGAACUCAAGCCAGUCAGAAGCAAGAGCGACUGCAUGAGUAACUUCCAACAUGCAACCAAGCUGACUGCCUACUCCCCCAAUCCUGUAACACACACACACACACACACACAGCCUACUCCCCCAAUCCCAUAACACACACACACACACGCAGACUGCCUACUCCCCCAAUCCCGUAACACACACACAGACUGCCUACUCCCCCAAUCCCAUAACACACACACACACACACAGACUGCCUACUCCAAUCCCAUAACACACACACACACACACACACACAGAGACUGCCUACUCCAAUCCCAUAACACACACACACACACACACACAGAGUGCCUACUCCCCCAAUCCCAUAACACACACACACACACACACGCAGACUGCCUACUCCCCCAAUCCCGUAACACACACGCAGACUGCCUACUCCCCCAAUCCCGUAACACACACACAGACUGCCUACUCCCCCAAUCCCAUAACACACACACACACACAGACUGCCUACUCCAAUCCCAU